rnacentral:rRNA from 1 species
UGCGUAGGCGGGAUAUUAAGUCAGUGGUGAAAGUUUGACGCUCAACGUUAAAAUUGCCAUUGAUACUGGUUUUCUUGAGUACAGUUGAGGUAGGCGGAAUGUGGUGUGUAGCGGUGAAAUGCAUAGAUAUACCACAGAACACCGAUUGCGAAGGCAGCUUACUAAGUUGUAACUGACGCUGAAGCACGAAAGCAUGGGGAUCAAACA